CCAGCUACCUGGUGCCGAGUUCAGGGUGAUCAAGAAUGAUCUGACCUCGGGUGGAGGCUCACCAUUGCACCUUGGUGGGUUGAAACUCGCAACGGACUCUAAUCGGGUGCGCUCGGGCGUGUAGUGUUUGUCAGCGGGGAGGCCUCACGGUCCUCCCCU
rnacentral:snRNA from 1 species